AACGAACGCUGGCGGCAGGCUUAACACAUGCAAGUCGAACGCCCCGCAAGGGGAGGUGGCAGACGGGUGGAGUAACGCGUGGGAACGGUACCUUUCUAGUUCGGAAUAACUCAGGGAAACUUGUGCUAAUACCGGAUACGCCCGCAAGGGGAAAGAUUUAUCGCUGAAAGAUCGGCCCGCGUUGGAUUAGCUAGUUGGUGGGGUAAAGGCCUACCAAGGCGACGAUCCAUAGCUGGUCUGAGAGGAUGAUCAGCCACACUGGGACUGAGAUACGGCCCAGACUCCUACGGGAGGCAGCAGUGGGGAAUAUUGGACAAUGGGCGCAAGCCUGAUCCAGCCAUGCCGCGUGUGUGAUGAAGACCUUAGGGUUGUAAAGCACUUUCUACCGAUGAAGAUAAUGACGGUAGUCGGAGAAGAAGCCCCGGCUAACUUCGUG
rnacentral:rRNA from 1 species